CCAAUAGCGUAUAUUAAAGUUGUUGCAGUUAAAAAGCUCGUAGUUGAAUUUCGGGAUCAAUAUAUCGGUCGUGCCUUGGUACGUACUGGUAUCAUUGGUCUCUCCUUUCUGACGAACCAUGAUGUCAUUAAUUUGGUGUUAUGGGAAGUUAGGACUGUUACUUUGAAAAAAUUAGAGUGUUUAAAGCAGGCUUUGGCUUGAAUACAUUAGCAUGGAAUAAUGAAAUAGGACGUUCGAACCUAUUUUGUUGGUUUCUAGGAUCAACGUAAUGAUUAAUAGGGAUAGUUGGGGGCAUUAGUAUUCAAUUGUCAGAGGUGAAAUUCUUGGAUUUAUUGAAGACUAACUACUGCGAAAGCAUUUGCCAAGGAUGUUUUCAUUAAUCAAGAACGAAAGUUAGGGGAUCGAAGACGAUCAGAUACCGUCGUAGUCUUAACCAUAAACUAUGCCGACUAGGGAUCGGAUGAUGUUAAUUUUUUAAUGACUCAUUCGGCGCCUUACG
rnacentral:misc_RNA from 1 species